GGGAGUAUAGCUCUGUGGUAGAGCCCAUGCUUGGCAGGCACAAGGUCCUGGGUUCAAUCCCGAGUACCUCCG
rnacentral:tRNA from 1 species